rnacentral:lncRNA from 1 species
CGGAAAUGACUUAAAUGUUUACACCUCACAUAAUGUGGAAGGAUUACUGUCCUCUAGGGGGAGCCUUUGGCUAAUAGUCGGCUCCUUAAAUAUUAGGCUCUGCUCUUAGAGGGUUCCACAAUCCAGUUAAAAACUUGUUCUCACCUAAACCUAGCCACUUUCCUCCCCAAGGAAAGUGGGGAAAAUGAACAUGACUGUGAACAAGUUAUAAUACAGACCUAUGCAGCCAGGGAAGAUCUCAGGGAAAAUCCCCUAGAAAAUCAAGACUGGAUCCUCUUCAAAGAUGGGAGCUCCUUUGUAGAGAAAGUAAUCAGUACGGCAGGAUUAUGCAGUAGUCACUCUAAAUGGCAUCAUUGAAAAUGUGUCUCUCUCUCCAGGCACAAGCGCUCAAUUAGCUGCACUGACAGAUCUUAAAAGACCACUUGAAUUAAGCAAUUGAAAGUGGUAAAAGUUACAGGUAUCAACUCCUGGAUACAUCACACUGGAGUCGAAGCCUGGAAAGCUGUGGGAGCAACCCCUGACAGCCCUGAGGAACAUCCUGAAUAUCAAUGUGAAUAAAUAGGAGAUCUGAAGCUACAAACCAUAAAAGAAGUAAUCAAACUCCAAAUGGUGCUGCAGACAGAACCAUCCAUGGACACGCCUUUCUUUUGAGGACCCUUAGAUUGACCCCAGGAGGAGCCCUAACUGCUGUUCCC